rnacentral:lncRNA from 1 species
GCUCAACUGAGGAGGCGAUAGAAGUGGUAGCAACUUCAUUUUAUUUAAAAAAAACGUUUUCCUCAGGUUUCUGGCAAGGGCUGCUGUUAGUUGCUUGUUGGAACCCUCUCUAGCACUGUCUCCUCCCCCCUUGCUCUCAUCCAACCUUCCUCCUUGGCCCACAGUCUCUGAGUUUGGACACAGACCCUGCAACGUGUGCUCUACUUUCUGGGUCUAUUUUGGUGAAGGGUCCUGCCUCCUUUCAAGGGGCUGUCCCUGCCGUCCUUUUGUUUUGUUUGCUGCACACAAUUGGCCCUUCUUUUCCAUGGUCAGGGUCUCUCUGCCUCUCCCCCACUGGGGGCUGGUGCUGGACCGAGGAUCAGCAUCAGGAAAAAUAUCCCCUCCAGAGGGGGGGCCAUGGAGCAUUUCCCCCGGUCGGCUCUAUCUUUGCUGCAUACCAAUCCAAUUACAAACAAAUUGGCCCACAGGUUCAAGCAUGAGAGCGAUUUGGACUUCUCUCCUCCCUUGCUGACAGUUUUAAACCUGUUUUCUUUAAAAACCCAACUCUGGGAAGAAAGUUUAGCACCCAAGCUCAAGAGAGGUGGGAUGCAAUCAUCCCAGAUAUCAGGGUAUAGUGAGGCUCAGAGAAGGAACUUUGAAUUCUAUUUUUCAGGAAUAAUUGAAACAAAAAGAGGUUCCCGGGGAUUUACCUGUGACUGCAGGUUGGCAGCAGGAGGCUGGUCUUUUCAGAUCACCUGUCACUUCCUAUCAGCAUACCAGUCACACUUCUCCUGUGAGGAUCUGUGUGGAGUUUCUGGGGGAAGUCUAGCUCACUUGUGCUGAGAUGCUCAGCUGGCAGGGAGCCCGAGACCACUCCAUCAUCGCAGGUCACAUCGGAAAGCCUCAUCAGAACUGCUCUUCUCUUCAGAAAGAUGUCUCAGAGGGUUUCCAGGGUGAUUCAGAACAUCCUCCUGAGAUGCUGAGAGACUCAGGUCAGAGGAUGCGUCUAGACGCAGGUAUGUACUCUGCUGGAGACCUGGGUAUGUAUGCGCGUACUCUGUUCGGGGGUGGGUGGAGGGGGAAAGUCUAUAGACCGGCUGGGGGAACCAACAGGUACAGCAUGAUUACAAGUCAGACAAAUAUUAUGACGGGGAGAAGGAUGUGGUGAGGGCACAAAGAAAGGGUACAUAACCUUCACAGAGCAGGAGGACCUUCCAGAAGAAAUGGCAACGGUGCAUAAGACUGCUAAUGACAUAGCCACAGUCUCUGUGAUGAGACCUCAGAAACUGACCUGAGAACAGAGGUGUGUGUCGCUGAGGGGAAACUUGCGGGGGGACUACUUUCAUUAGAUCCACUUGGAUGAACGGCAGCGGCCCCAUAGCCAUGCCCACGGAUUCUGCAACUACACUUUGAUGGCCUUUGACUUUACAUUGAAGAUACAUGAGAAGAUAGGAGACGAAGAUGACUCCUCCCUCAGUUUAGUUACAGCACCUGCCUCACCUCUUCUGAGCUUCCAGCCCUUGGGUCGCAAUGAAAAAGAAGAUGCAGGGAUCAUCCUGUUCAACUGUCAAGUUUGGGGGUGAAUGAAAUAUCCAUAAGGGAUCUCCCAGAAGCCAGAAAACUCAUAUUUACUUUCAACCAGGGAGAAUUUGAACCUAUGUCUCCAGACUUAAAAGUCUAGGAUAUUAAUUCAUUGUGACAUCUGGUCCUUCUCUUCGAUAUUUUAAAAAUAGGCUAGAAACAGAAUUGUGAAUCCAUGCUCCAAAGCGCUCCACUCAGAUUCUGGGAAAGAAUGCAACUCUGAGUUUAUCUUGUUUAUCCAACUAGUCUCUGGUCAUUUGUGUAACAUGAUAUUUCUUCCAUUGGAUGCUGUAAGCCAAUUUCUAGCACAAGGUUUCCAUUUUGUUUUAAUCAUCCAUGAAAGAAAAGAAUGUGGGAAUGUCUGUGUUGCCAUUUUCUAGGACUGUGGUGGCACCAGUAGCUGGCUGCUGGCUUCUAGUCUUUGCUGCAGCCACUUGAGAAUGUGAGAUUCUCUACGAAUCCUAGAAUUUUGGAACUAGAAAGAAAAUUUAGCAGUACGUAACAAGAACCAUAAAGAUGCUCAUACCUUUUAUUCCAGUCAACCCACCCUAAUGAAUUUCAAAGAAAUAUCACUCACCAGACCUGCAAAUAUGCAUUUUCAAAGAUGUUCACUCUAGAUUUUUUUUUUGUAGUAAAAAAAUGAGAAAUCACCAAGAUGUUCAACAUUAUGGACCUUGAUUUAAACGUUGGGGUACAUUAACUUCAAGGAAUAUUCUGCAGCCCUAAAAUAAUUAUAAAGCUGCUUUACAUUCACAAAUGUCUAUGGAAAGCCUACUAUGUAGCUGUGCCCUAAGAUAAUAAAGAAAUAUGCAGACUUCA